ensembl:snRNA U6 U6 spliceosomal RNA
GUGCUCACUUCGGCAGCACAUGUACUAAAAUUGGAACGAUAUAGAGAAGAUUAGCAUGGCCCUUGUGCAAGGAUGAAACAAAUUUAUGAAGUGUUACAUAUUUUU